rnacentral:rRNA from 1 species
CGUAGGUGCGAGCGUUGUCCGGAAUUACUGGGCGUAAAGAGCUCGUAGGCGGUUUGUCACGUCGUCUGUGAAAUCCUCCAGCUUAACUGGGGCGUGCAGGCGAUACGGGCAGACUUGAGUACUACAGGGGAGACUGGAAUUCCUGGUGUAGCGGUGAAAUGCGCAGAUAUCAGGAGGAACACCGGUGGCGAAGGCGGGUCUCUGGGUAGUAACUGACGCUGAGGAGCGAAAGCAUGGGUAGCGAACAGGAUU